GAGCUACUUCCUCCGUCCGGAAAUACUUGUCAUCAAAAUGAAUAAAAGGAGAUGUAUCUAGAUGUAUUUUAGUUCUAGAUACAUCCCUUUUUAUCUAUUUUGAUGACAAGUUUUUUCGGACGAAGGGAAUACCAG
rnacentral:pre_miRNA from 1 species